CUCGUAAAUUUCACGAUUGCGAGCCACGCUUCACGCAACCGUGUUUGCGUACUUGUGUUUCGAGUUGCGUGAUCGUGCGGGGUUAUAUUUACCAAAUUUAAAUGUAAUCGUUUCUACUGAUAAUAAUAUACUAUUCUCAAUAUGGCUACUGGGUGUAAAAGAUAAAUCUUAUUCUAUCUGUUCUUCAUGAGUUUUAGAUAAUUUUAGUUGUAUUUCUUUGUAAUUUUGUGUUGUACAAAGAUUAAUUUAACAUUUUCUCUGGAAGUAUUAAUUUAGAAAGAUAAUAUGCUUCAUUGGUGUUAUGUUUUGAAGUGUGAAAUGCAAAGUAAUUGUGAUAAAGUCGAGAUAAAGUUCACUUUUAAACUGAACUAAAUAAGGUAUCUGAGAGACAACAAUGGUUAAAUGCAAUACAAUGUACAGGUUUUACUAGCGAAAUGAAAAUUUUCCUGUCCUGUCUGCUGUAAUCAUUUUAUAUCUGGAAAAUAGGAAAACCAGCCGACUUAAUCGAUAAUAACAAUCUCCAGAUUGGGUUCCUUCAAUAAAUAUGGGCUAUAAACACAAUGAAAUAAGUUCCCCAAAAUCUAAAAUGGAGUGCUAUCAAAGGAGAAUUAAAGGAAAAAAUAUUCAUAUUGAAAUUAUUUAUAAGGCACUGGACUGUCUUAAAUUCUACAAUAAUACUAGAAUCAGCUGAGAGAAGUGGUCUACAAAAAACCAGGAAGGAAACGGAAUAUGUGGCUACGAAAGGCAAAAGAAAGGUUUACAAAGCAAAUGUGACACAUUUUUUUGAAAUAUUUAGGAAUAUCAGUAAAUUGCAUUAAAAAAUGUAUGAAAAGAUUUUGUUCAAUAAAAAUGUUUAUAUUUA
rnacentral:lncRNA from 1 species